AACCACGUCACCACAAACGCCGCCGUGGCCUCUGACCCCGCGCGCGACGGCGGCGCGGCAGGGACAGAAUUGCUCGCGCGCGCGGCCCCGGGGGGUGGGGCGGGGCCGGCGUGGGGAAGGGGGCGGGCUUCAUUUUGUUAACAGGCAUUUAACAGAGAGGAUGGUACGACAUGGUGGGGGGCUGCCUGCAGGGUAUCGCCCUCGUUCGCGGACUGCGGGGAGCUUGUUCGGUUCCGGCCGGGGGUGCAUUUGCGUGUCACGGUGUGAGAGAGUAAGGAGGGCACUAUUUUUCGUUUAUUUUGGCUGGGAGUUGUGGUUUGUUUGGAGACAGGGUCUCGGGAACCGCAGCCUGGCUUCGUGGUCACUAGGGAGCCCCACUGUAGGUUCCAACUGUGUUGCCUGGCCUGACUUCAAGCCAUGGCUGGGAAAAAAUAAGUCCAAAACUGGGUGUGGUGGCGCACCACUUUCAUCCCAGCGCUCAGAGGCUGAAGCAGACGGGGUGUACCAUGACCCGAACCAACCUAGCAAGCGCACCGAAGAUGAUGGGCUGAGCUCUCAACUUGCUGCCCUGCCUGCCCAUUGCUGCCCUGUGCUCCCGGGCUAUCGUGGACUCUAACCCUUAGGAACCGUAAACCAAAAUAAACUCUUUCUUCCAUAA